GGGGGAUUGGCUAGCGCGGAUCUUCAGAGAUUAGAGUUUGAUCCUGGCUCAGGAUUAACGCUAGCGGCAGGCCUAAUACAUGCAAGUCGAACGGGAUUCAAGGUAGCAAUAUUUUGAUGAGAGUGGCGCACGGGUGAGUAACACGUAUGCAAUUUGCCUUUAACUGGGGAAUAGCCCUCCGAAAGGAGGAUUAAUACCGCAUAACAUUUCAGAAUGGCAUCAUUUUGAAAUUAAACCUCCGGGGGUUAAAGAUAAGCAUGCAUCCGAUUAGGUAGUUGGUGUGGUAACGGCACACCAAGCCAACGAUCGGUAGGGGGUCUGAGAGGAUGAUCCCCCACACUGGUACUGAGACACGGACCAGACUCCUACGGGAGGCAGCAGUAAGGAAUAUUGGACAAUGGAGGCAACUCUGAUCCAGCCAUGCCGCGUGAAGGAAUAAGGCCCUAUGGGUUGUAAACUUCUUUUAGACGGGACAAAACCCCUUUACGUGUAAAGGGUUGAUGGUACUGUCAGAAUAAGCAUCGGCUAACUUCGUGCCAGCAGCCGCGGUAAUACGAAGGAUGCAAGCGUUAUCCGGAAUUAUUGGGUUUAAAGGGUGCGUAGGCGGACUGAUAAGUCAGUGGUGAAAGCCUGCAGCUUAACUGCAGAAUUGCCGUUGAUACUGUCAGUCUUGAGUACAGUUGAGGUAGGCGGAAUGUGUCAUGUAGCGGUGAAAUGCUUAGAUAUGACACAGAACACCGAUUGCGAAGGCAGCUUGCUAAGCUGUAACUGACGCUGAGGCACGAAAGCGUGGGGAGCAAACAGGAUUAGAUACCCUGGUAGUCCACGCCCUAAACGAUGAUAACUCGCUGUUGGCGAUACACAGCCAGCGGCCAAGCGAAAGCAUUAAGUUAUCCACCUGGGGAGUACGACCGCAAGGUUGAAACUCAAAGGAAUUGACGGGGGCCCGCACAAGCGGAGGAGCAUGUGGUUUAAUUCGAUGAUACGCGAGGAACCUUACCUGGGCUUGAAAGUUAGCGACCGACUCCGAAAAGAGACUUUCAGAAAUGACGGCGG
rnacentral:rRNA from 1 species